UGGAUUAAAGCAUCUAGAAUCUUAUCUACGCUUCUUCAGUCGAGUUGAACACUGUCUGGCAGAUAUCUUGAUGAUGAGAGUAUGAGAGCAGUGAGCCACGUUUUGACGUAGGAGUGUCUUCCGAGAACCAAAAAGGCUGUGAAAAGAAACAGUCGAAUCACCCGUGAUCUGUGACCCUUGG